rnacentral:rRNA from 1 species
CAUGCAUGUCUCAGUACGAGCCGCAUUAAGGUGAAACCGCGAAAGGCUCAUUAAAUCAGUUAUGGUUCCUUAGAUCGUACCCACAUUUACUUGGAUAACUGUGGUAAUUCUAGAGCUAAUACAUGCAAACAGAGCUCCGACCGGAGACGGAAGGAGCGCUUUUAUUAGAUCAAAACCAAUCGGUGUCGGGCUUGCCCGUCACCGUACACCUUGGUGACUCUGAAUAACUUUUUGCUGAUCGCACGGUCUCGCACCGGCGACGCAUCUUUCAAAUGUCUGCCUUAUCAACUGUCGAUGGUAGGUUCUGCGCCUACCAUGGUUGUAACGGGUAACGGGGAAUCAGGGUUCGAUUCCGGAGAGGGAGCCUGAGAAACGGCUACCACAUCCAAGGAAGGCAGCAGGCGCGCAAAUUACCCACUCCCGGCACGGGGAGGUAGUGACGAAAAAUAACGAUACGGGACUCAUCCGAGGCCCCGUAAUCGGAAUGAGUACACUCUAAACCCUUUAACGAGGAUCAAUUGGAGGGCAAGUCUGGUGCCAGCAGCCGCGGUAAUUCCAGCUCCAAUAGCGUAUAUUAAAGUUGUUGCGGUUAAAAAGCUCGUAGUCGAAUUUGUGUCUCGCGCCGCCGGUUCAUCGCUCGCGGUGUUUAACUGGCGUGUCCGCGGGACGUCCUGCCGGUGGGCCCAGUCCCUUCGGGGGCGGCCCAACUUCAAAUCCCACCGCGGUGCUCUUUACCGAGUGUCGAGGUGGGCCGGCACGUUUACUUUGAACAAAUUAGAGUGCUUAAAGCAGGCUAAAACUUCGCCUGAAUACUGUGUGCAUGGAAUAAUGGAAUAGGACCUCGGUUCUAUUUUGUUGGUUUUCGGAACUCCGAGGUAAUGAUUAAUAGGAACGGAUGGGGGCAUUCGUAUUGCGACGUUAGAGGUGAAAUUCUUGGAUCGUCGCAAGACGGACAGAAGCGAAAGCAUUUGCCAAAAACGCUUUCAUUGAUCAAGAACGAAAGUUAGAGGUUCGAAGGCGAUCAGAUACCGCCCUAGUUCUAACCAUAAACGAUGCCAGCUAGCGAUCCGCCGACGUUCCUCCGAUGACUCGGCGGGCAGCUUCCGGGAAACCAAAGCUUUUGGGUUCCGGGG